CCGAUCGCUGCACGAGUCAUUCCCGCUACGGCCGUCACACGGGGAACUUGUGUCGCUUGUCUUCGAGUCGCGCAAUCGUAACAAAGGGUGACAACACGAUAAGACAAAUGGGGACAAUAAAGAAAAUAAGAAGAAGAAACAUAAAGGUUGGAGGAAAAAGAAUGCUUACAAUUGGAACAAAUUAAUGAAAAAUCCGGAAUCCAGAAGGAAAAUAAACCCACUAAUUGUUCACAAUGUGAACCUUC